rnacentral:rRNA from 1 species
ACUCCUACGGGAGGCAGCAGUAGGGAAUCUUCCGCAAUGGACGAAAGUCUGACGGAGCAACGCCGCGUGAGUGAAGAAGGUUUUCGGAUCGUAAAACUCUGUUGUGAGGGAAGAACAAGUACCAACUAACUACUGGUACCUCGACGGUACCUCACCAGAAAGCCACGGCUAACUAGGUGCCAGCAGCCGCGGUAAU